GUCAGGAUGGCCCAGCGAUCUCAGGCGCUGUGUUCAGAGUGCAGUCUCCCCUGGAAGUGUGGGUUUGAAUCCCACUUCUGACA